UUGAAAGUGGUCAGGACAGGUCAGCACAGGCAGCAACAGAGCAAGCUUUCCCCAUACCUUCCAUCUAUGCAUGUUAACUCUGACCUGGAGGGAUCUCCUCUAUAGAAGCCUCUACCAUUCAAGAACAACACACU
ensembl:misc_RNA